rnacentral:rRNA from 1 species
AUUGAACGCUGGCGGCAUGCUUUACACAUGCAAGUCGAGCGGUAACAGGCCUUCGGGUGUCGUCGAGUGGUGAAGGGGUGCGUAUUGCUAAGGAACGUACACCGUGGCUGGGGGUAACGCAGAGCUAGGUGUGAUCAUACCGCAUGUGAUCUGAGGUUGCAAGCGGGGUGCUUCGCAGCAAAGAUUGGCCUCGCCCCUUUGGUGCGGCUGGUGUUGGAUCAGCUAGUUGGUGGGGUAAAGGCCUACCAAGGCCACGAACCGUAGCUGAUCUGAGAGGACGACCAGCCACACUGGAACUGAGACACGGCCCAGACUCCUACGGGAGGCAGCAGUAGGGAAUUUUGGGCAAUGGGCGCAAGCCUGAUGCAGCAAUGCCGCGUGCGUGAAGAAGGUCUUCGGAUUGUAAACCGCUGUUAGCAGGGACGAAACAGUGUCCGCGAAUACCGGGCGGUAAUGACGGUACCUGCAGAGUAAGCACCGGCUAACUACGUG